rfam:Schistosoma mattheei strain Denwood, Zambia genome assembly, scaffold: SMTD_scaffold0021318
CUGAAGAGUCCCACAAUAGGACGAAACGGCCGUC